rnacentral:lncRNA from 1 species
GGAGGAUAUGAGAAUAGCAUGGGUCCAGGUUGGUGCCUUGACUUUCAAGGGCACUCAACUAGAUUGGGAUAGGAUGUAGCCUCGGCUAGGAGAAGUCUAAGUUAACACUAGUUCUAAGAUACAUAGAGUUCUACUAGCAAGAUAUAGUGCAAGAUAAACUAAAACUAAUGCAAAAAUAAGCAAAGAUAAAAUAUGAUCUAUUGAUGUGUCCAAGCUUCUUUCUUCUAAUUAUAAUUUGAUAUUUAUAAGCGGCUCCUCUUAAUUGGUAAGAUAGGUGCCAUAGGCCCACAGCUCAUCUUAAAUACUUAUUCUUGCUAUUAUGUGUUACAUAACCUAGAAUUGCCACAAAUAAUAGGUAGCACUACCCGUCCUCUCAAGUCAUGGGUGGUGGAAAGGUUUGACUAUUCAUUGUGGACAUUUUAUUCUUGUAUGCCACAUACGGGCCACUAUAACCAUGUAUGAUAGGUAGUUCGACUAUUUCUCACAUGCAUGAGUGGCGAUAACUAUCGGCCAACCACCAAUUUUGGACCACUAAGAUCUCGUCCUAGACUAAUAAAUCUCACCCUCUUAAUUUACAGUAACUUGGCCUGAACCCCUGGUAUUUUAGUCUGCACAUUCGUGUUUCAACCUGAAAUCUUGGUAUUUCGACCUACAUCUUACUUGGUGUAUUAGUCUGCAUCCUUGGUAUUUCGGAUUAUAUUUUUGGUGUUUCAGUCUGACCUUUGGUACUUCAGCCCAAUCUCUUAGUAUUUCGGCCUAUUUGACAUUUCAUAGGAGGCUAGCACAUAACUUGGCCUACUUCAGAAUAGUUUAG